GCUAGGUGCUUGGCUCAGGGGUGUCCAGCCGGCCUGUCUGUCUCUUGGAUUCACACUGCCGCAGUUUCCAUCUCGGCUCUGCUGGCUAUUUGCUGGGUGACAUUGGACAGCCGGUUUUUGCUGUGUGGCCUUGGGUAGUGAGCUGCCCAUCGCUGGAGGUAUGCAAGCAG